AUGGAAAUUGGGUAUGUGGUUAUAAAACAUGACUCUGCUGUUGCUAGUUGGUCCAUCGGGCCUCUGCUGCCCACAGCGUGCAUCCUCUGCUUCUUCCUCGUCUGCUCCAGCGCAGCCAAAUCUGUCUCCCUCUCCUCCACGCCGCCGCCGCUCCAGGCGUGCGCUCUGAUGAGGAGGAGGGCGGCUGCCUCAGGCCGUGGGGCAAGCAGCGGAACCUUCCUCUUUUCACAUCUGCGCCCUGCCGAGAAGGACUGCAGUUGGUCGCCGCACGCACUGCGGCAAGAUGUGGGCGGAUCGACCAUUGCCUCCUUCAUGGUGUGGAGGCUUUCAGAGAUUCCCACCUGCAGCUGCAGGUGCAUCGAUUCAUCCCAUGUUAUCACCGAAUUUGAUGUGAGAAGCAUUUAUUUAGACAGAAGUGAGAUUUAUCAGGGGACUCACUCGUAUGCCGAUUUACUUCAUAGCUCUUCUGGAUUUUUAUGA
rnacentral:rRNA from 1 species